rnacentral:misc_RNA from 1 species
UUUCCGUAGGUGAACCUGCGGAAGGAGCAGUACCGAGUGAGGGUCUCUCAGGCCCGACCUCCCACCCUGUGUUUUUGGGACCUUGUUGCUGUGGCGGGUCAGCCUCGAUGAGAGGCCGCCGGAAGCUCACCGCUUUGGGCGCGUGCCCGCCAGUAGCCCCCUUAAAUUCUUAAUAAACCUGUCGUCUGAGUCUGGAUAUAAUAAAAAAAACUUUCAACAACGGAUCUCUUGGUUCUG